rnacentral:rRNA from 1 species
CCUACGGGUGGCAGCAGUGGGGGAUAUUGGACAAUGGAGGCAACUCUGAUGCAGCUACGCCGCGUGAGUGAAGAAGGGCUUCGGAGUGUAAAGCUCUUUCAGCAGGGAAGAAAAUGACGGUAGCAGCCGCAGACUCCCCGGCUAACUACGUGCCAGCAGCCGCGGUAAUACGCAGGGGGCAAGCGUGAUACGGAGUUACUGGGCGGAAGGGGGGCGGAGUCGGUGAUGUAAGCCAGGAGUGAAAGCCCGGGGCUCAACCGCGGGACUGCUAUUAGAACUGCUUGGCGGGAGUGCAGGAGGGGCAAGUGGAAUACCCGGUGUAGCGGUGAAAUGCGUAGAUAUCGGGAAGAACACCAGUGGCGAAGGCGACUUUCUGGACUGAAACUGACGCUGAGGCCCGAAAGCGUGGGGAGCAAACAGGAUUAGAUACCCUUGUAGUC